GACGAACGCUGGCGGCGUGCCUAAUACAUGCAAGUCGAACGCAGUGGGGACGGGUGCGUAACACGUGGGUAACCUCCCAUCAGAGGGGAUAACACUUAGAUACAGGUGCUAACCUGCUACUGAUGGAUGGACCCGCGGUGCAUUAGCUAGUUGGUGGGGUAACGGCUCACCAAGGCCACGAUGCAUAGCCGACCUGAGAGGGUGAUCGGCCACACUGGGACUGAGACACGGACCAGACUCCUACGGGAGGCAGCAGUAGGGAAUAUUCGGCAAUGGACGAAAGUCUGACCGAGCAACGCCGCGUGAGUGAAGAAGGUUUUCGGAUCGUAAAACACUGUUGUUAGAGAAGCGGUAUCUAAACAGAAAGCAACGGCUAACUACGUGCCAGCAGCCGCGGUAAUUC
rnacentral:rRNA from 1 species